rnacentral:rRNA from 1 species
UUAAUUGAAGAGUUUGAUCAUGGCUCAGAUUGAACGCUGGCGGCAGGCUUAACACAUGCAAGUCGAGCGGUAGCACAGGGGAGCUUGCUCCCCGGGUGACGAGCGGCGGACGGGUGAGUAAUGUCUGGGAAACUGCCUGAUGGAGGGGGAUAACUACUGGAAACGGUGGCUAAUACCGCAUAAUGUCGCAAGACCAAAGAGGGGGACCUUCGGGCCUCUUGCCAUCAGAUGUGCCCAGAUGGGAUUAGCUAGUAGGUGGGGUAAUGGCUCACCUAGGCGACGAUCCCUAGC